CACGUAGGGUGCGAGCGUUGUCCGGAAUUAUUGGGCGUAAAGAGCUCGUAGGCGGUUUGUCGCGUCUGCUGUGAAAACUGGAGGCUCAACCUCCAGCCUGCAGUGGGUACGGGCAGACUAGAGUGCGGUAGGGGAGAUUGGAAUUCCUGGUGUAGCGGUGGAAUGCGCAGAUAUCAGGAGGAACACCGAUGGCGAAGGCAGAUCUCUGGGCCGAUACUGACGCUGAGGAGCGAAAGCGUGGGGAGCGAACAGG
rnacentral:rRNA from 1 species